UUAUAGACUAUAUACAGAUGUCCAGUUGUCCCUUUGCUGUUUUAUAUGUUGUAUUUUAUUGAGUUUUUAUUUCUUUUUGAAUUCGGUUCAGAGACAAAAAAAGGUUGGAAAGGAGAGGGUCCUCACUCAGCUGAAGGAUACACUGAGGAAACCACUCCACUCUGAUCCACGCAGAACCAAUCCGUUACAUAGUGAGGAGGAAGUUCAAGCCGAAACCGUGGACACAAAUGUGGAUUUGUUCGAUUACCCAGAGAAUUUUCAACCAACCGAUACCUUAGAUGCUGCUGAGGCAAGUGGAGAGAGCGUGGAACAGCCAUUAUUUGUCAGUGGUGAAGUGUUGAAAGCUUUGAAAGAAAUCUCAACUGUGGCGUUUGGCAUCUUGUUCCUACCCCACUUACGAUGUGUUUUUACACGUAUUACCUGUGCUGUGCAUCAGGAGUGGAGCGAAAUUCCCACCUUAGUGCAGUGUGUCAAGGAACUAAUAUCCUCAAUGAACAGAGGGAUCGAUACAGCAAGCACAAGCUCAGGGUCCUCCAGCUCAGCCCAAGAGAUGGUAUGUUAUUGUAUGUGUUUUGUGAAAUACUAAUCAUUCAAAACAAAAAUUUUAACUAUUAAUUUACUCUUAGCUAAGCUCCGCCCUCCUUAGAUACUGUUGCUACGCCUGGCAAACUUUCACGCCUGGCACGUCUAUUCGGUUGUUAAGUUGUGACGUAACCACUGCUGUUUCCGGGUCCUAAGGCCGUUGUCUUUCUACUGCUUUUGCAUGAGUUUUACUAUGGUUUUACCAUACAGCAGUGCUGCGUCCUGUGUUGUUUAAAUAGAUCCGAGUUUAAAAGAACAAGUGACUGUCAACAGUCAUUUUACUUUUCCCUGUGACGAGAAAGACAAGAGGAAAUGGCUGCAGUUGAUAACGUAAGUUACAAAUAUUAAACAAAUAAAGAAACUUUGGCGUCAGUUGGUGCUGCUAAC
ensembl:lncRNA